rnacentral:lncRNA from 1 species
AUACCUGCUUGUUUUCUCUUCUCCGAGGGUGAUUCCUUGUGCUACUCUCCUCAACAACCUCCUUCACCACCUCACCACCGUUCUCAUUCCCUCCUCCUCCGCUGCCGCUUUCACUCUUUUCGCUCUCUCUCUCCUUCUCAGUUUCCUCUUGAGUCUCUCUCUCCUUCCCUUUUUCUUUUUCCUCCUUUUCCUUCAAACUCAAUUCUUGAAUCUUCCGAAUCUCAUCGAGGAAGGCAGGGUCGAGAUUCGAUCACGGCGGGGUCGAGUGUCCGAAUCAAUUCAAGGAUUUCAGGAUCCAGAUCGGACGGCGCAUGAGACGGAAUAGACGGUGGAUGACCACUUUGAUCAUCGAUGGGAUUUAGGCGAAAGGCGACGCCUUGAGGGAGUUCCGGUUGCCGUCCGGAUCGAAAGUACCUAUAAAUUUCGACCAACACUGUAAAUGACACCGGUAGCAGAACACGCGCCGUUGGCAACAUUGGUAGUUUUUGCGCUGGCGGGGACGGCGGCUGAAACUGGGUUGCUGGGUUUGCUGUGAACUUGCAACUAGCAGCUACAUUAUCAUUACGGAUUAAAUUGAGUUUUAGUUUGUUGAUUAAUUGUAGAAACUGGGUUUUGACUGGUUAAAUCAAAGUCGUCGGCUUUUUCUGGCAGAGGCAUGUUCAUUGCUUUGGAUUUUUUCUUUUGGAAAAGUGGAAAUUGCUGCUUUUGCUUUAAAAGUGGAUAAUCAUGUUGAUUAUCCUAGGUUUUUAUUUUGAGGCAAAGGUUAACUUAUAUACCUCGUUGACUUAUAUGACCUGAGUACAUUGUCAACUUCACAGGUCCCCUCCGGUACCUACAAACAUGUUAGUUUGUAAUAUGGGUUCGUCUUUUUUAUUGGUGUUUUCUGUGCAAGUUUAAUCAAUGUUACAUGCAACAGACAACGCAAAUGCCGCAACAAGUUCGAUACACCAACAACCAAGCCAUUCGAAGUUGGUCGGGGAAUAGGCAACGACGACGAAAUUGAAAGGAUAUUUCCCGACUAAACUUGUAUUUUCCGGUAAAGUGACAUGGAUAAGAAAUCAUUUACACGUUUUAUUCACAACUAAAAAGUUUGUGUCAUCCGCGUGAAAGGGUUUGAUACAUUUCUAAGAUUAAAUUUACCAAAAGAGAGAUUGCACAUGUCCUUGGUGAUGCGAAUCCUGUGCUCUAGGCAAGCAUUCAUGCAUAACUUAUUGCACGGGCUGCAGCUGACUUGUACCAUCAGUUCCAACUUCUGCUCCCAGCUAUUCCCGCCCCAUUAGUAGUCGCCCAGUCACCGAAAGGAAGUUGAUGAUCAGUACCAGAUGUAGUUGAAGAUGAUAUAUGUGACGGGUGGUCAAAUUGACGGAUGGUGAUAUUUGCAAUUAGAUUUAAACUUGCAAUCUCCCGUUCUUGAGAAAUAACUGCAAUCAGGUUGGCCGGGUCUUGCUGGGAACUCUUCAACUUGAUUCUGGUGUGGAUAUUGUUUGUAGACGUUGGUCUCAGUCACUGAGUUGUUCAUCAUAUAUGGUGGACGUGCAGGCAUGCUUCUUUCUGGUAUAUAUGCUGGAGCCUGAAGGUGCAAACAGAAAAACAAUUGGCAUUAAUAUUAGGGAUAUCGGAAACUAAUACGGAUGCCAAUUAACAAGUUUUGUACGCAGGAAUAUCAACUAAACAAAUUACUACAACUAUUGCAGACAGCAAUUUGUCAAACUAUUUGGAACUUUAAGUCCUGGUUAUAGGAUAGAAUUCAUAGCAUCUGUGCAUGAGCAAAUUAUUAGAUUUAUGAGCCAAAAACGAAUAAAAAGCAUGGCCGAAAAGUAUAAGAAAAUUAAACAUACAAAAAAUCUUGAUCUCUUAUCCCUCAUAAACUGUUAACUAGUAUACCAAAGUGAUCACAGUUAUUCAAACACGAGACUAUAAAAAGGGAGUGUUAAGUAAAAGUACCCGAUAACCAUUCCAUUCUGAAUUUUGAGAAGAAACCCCUUGAGGUGGUGGAAUCAUCAUUGGCGUGUAAACUGGAGCCUCAUUCAAUGGCCGUGGUGCCACUUUUGAUUGUGAUGCAACUUGUAACGAUGCAGGACCAUCAUUGCCAAAUCCAGAUGGGGGAUCAGAUCCUCCUGUAACAGGCUCAAGUGUUAUAACAUCAUGAAACUGUGACUAGUCCACCGGGGUACACAUUGCAGAUAUUUGAAUACAAGUCACAAAGGAAAGAACUAUUACUGACAUCUGAAAGCAUAAUUGUAAUUACUGUAUAAAAGGAAUAAGAGAAGGUCGUGAAAAAAACAUACAAUUUCAUGAAAACCCAUCCAGUGAAUGUUUGCUUACUAGCUAUGAACUUGCUAUAAUUUGAUCAAAACAGAUGACACGCCUCCCCAUACGAUAUAGGCGCAUAAAGUUCAAGAUUUCAGGACUCUGUGUUAACUACAAGAUGAAAGAUUUUAGCUUAUUUAUUCGGUUAUGCAAGCCAACAUAAUUUUCAGAUAAGCCGACUCCGAAAACCCCAUCAUCAUAACAAUUACCACUAUGAUAACAAAUACAUGAACUAAAACAUAAUAUACUGAUCUGUGGCAUGUUGAUCAAACAAUAUCAGUAAAAACCAUGGCUUCAAAUACAAAAUUGCUGAGAAUUACAACAAUAAUAACCUUGCAUUCCGUCUGGCUUGGAUUCUCUGCCGACUCAUCCUUAUCCUUUACCCUUUCCCUAGGCACCUUCAAUAUGAACAAAUCAAAACACCGGUAAACCGAAAGUGAGAACUGUUAACUACGUUGAAAUAUUUGAGAAUCGAAGAGAAAAUGGAGAAGAAAGAGUAACUGAGAAAGAUGAACUAGAGAGAAAUAUGAGGCUUGUAUUAACUGAAAAAGAAAGAUUACACAAUUCUGUAAGAGAAAGUCUAACUACUCUAACCAAAUACUAACAAACUGACUAACUAUAUCGCUAACUUGUACAAUCAUUUUAACUAAUCAUCUAACUAAUGGUGUGGAACUCUUAAUACUCCCCCUAAAUCUCAACUGGGGAAACUCAGUUUGAGAUUGGAAGAAUAUCUUCAAUAACUACUAUGAAGCUAAACUAUGCAGAAACCCAACCUCUGUCUCUAGUUGAUCUUUGAAGCACAAAACAUUUAAGUCUAUAGUCUAUGCCAAUCCAACCUACUAAUCAUCACAGCAGCUUUAGUCUUUAGAAAUCUAGGAGAUGAGGAAGAUGCUCAUAAGCAAGAAACUUGAACAGAUCUCUGUUAUACCACCAUGGGUAUACAUAUGCAACAUAUGGCACAUAUUCUCCGGCAAGUUCCCUGUUCCAACCAUGGGAAAUAAUGGUAUCUUAUAUGGACCUCAGCAGUACAAAUACCCUCUUUAUUUCCAGCCUCUGAAUCUAACCAAUGGACUUGUAUUCCUCUGCCUCUAACCAGAGCUGCACAAAGAAUCACAUGAAGUGCCGAUAAACUUUCAGAUAGAGUAGACGAGGAACGUGAAGAUUUUCAAAACCAAUAUGAUCCCUUCUAACCACACACUUCAUAACAGCAUAUACCCUUCUUUACCAGCAACAAACCAAGCAAUGCCUAAGAUGGAUAUUCCUCUCCAUAACUAAUGGUGUGGGACCAAGUGACUAAUUGUAUUUCUGCCGCCCAAUAUUUCUCUGCCUCUCACAGGAGUUUCAAUCAAAGAACAACCUUCUAUAAAGGAGUCGUAACACACCCUCAUACCUGUUAUAACAAUUUCUUACGGGAUUACCCUUCAUGGGAUUUACCGUACACAAUCUCAUUCAAUAUUGGCUUCGGCCUUUAAUAUUGACAAAAACAGAAAAUUAACAAACUAUAGUGUGGCAUCGGCCUUAACUAUAGUACCACGGGAUCGCCCUUUGUGGAUUUUACCAUAAACAACUUCUCUUAACAAUGGCAUCAGCCUUCACAAUUUCAACAACAGAAAAUGAACAUCUAUGUAGGAUUACCCUUCGUAGGAUUUACCUACUCAUAACACGGGAUUACCUUUGUGGGAUUUACUAUCAACAACUUCUUCAAACUUCAUCUUUUUCUAAGACACAUAUAACCGGACUUACAGUAGAUACAUGCUAACAACUAAGCUGGUUAGACUUGACAAUACAGGAUGUGAUAAGGAAUAUACCGCACAACUCCUCAGUUAGCUCUUGAACAAUCUUCUCAGACAGUACACUUCUCAUGUUGGCACAAACCAUAAUCUGAAUAACUAUAAACUUGUAUAUGCUAGAAUGCAAGAAUGCACACCCAUUUCUCCAAACAUAUCAAGAGUUGCAGAAAAAUAAAACCCAACAAAAGAAACAGAGUAGAAUUUCAAAGAAGUACAGAGACAAGAAUCAAAACCCAUCUUCAAAACCAUCAAAACCCAUCCUUAAGAUCGCACCCUUCAUCCACAUUUCACUACAAUUCACCUUGUUGCAUACGCAAAGAAAACUCCAACUGAUAGUGCCAUUUUACAUAAUCCAACAAAAUUCUUGAAAUUAGGAGCACAACAGAAACACAAAAAGAAUACCCAAAUCUUGAACAAAUAUACUUCCAAAAGACAACACAAGUCACAACCAAGUAGUAGAACCAUAAUUCUUAACCAGCACCAAAAAACUUGAAAAACCCAGAAAAGAUCCAUUCUAAUUGUUCAAGAAUGCAGAGAAAAGGGACUUAAAACAUAACCUUCACAAAAAAUCUUGAGUUGUGCAUUUCGUCAAACAUGUGGACUACACAAAGUUUUGAGCUUUCCUCCAUAGCAAAGAACAGAGCACGGAUCAAAGCCACAGAAAAUAUUAUUCAGAGAGCUGACUUGUACAAUCAUUUUAACUAACUAUAUUACUAGCAAACUUACUAACUAUAUUACUGACUUGUACAAUCAUUUUAACUAAUCAUCUAACUAAUGGUUUGGAACUCUUAAUAAGAACCAAUAGCAGAAAUGUUCUAAUCAUACAGUCUAAGCCACUCGGAGUUCGUCAUCAUUCUUUAACGCAAAAUCUCAUUGAAAAUGUAUGUAAACGAAAAGAACACCAUUUUCAGCUACAACCCUACAAAUGCAAACACAUAUAUGGCUUUGCUGCAUUGCUGCAGAAUUUCAGCUGAAACUAACAGAGGAUGGGCAAAUAUAAACUAAAAAUCCAAUCUUUCAACUGAAUAAUCGAAAUAAAAGAGGUAUACCUGGUUGGUUUUCCUUCUAACAAGGUGAUUAAACUUGCAAUUGGAUCCAAACUUGCAAUCAUCGAGUUUGUUCUCAACAAAACCAUUAGAUGUAACCACUUGAUCAAACUUUAAGUACCAUUGUUUGGAAGCUUACUUGAGACCAUAGAUUGAUUUCUUUAAUUUACAGACCAUAUUCUCCUUCCCCUUUCAAUAAAUCCAGGGGGUUGUACCAUGUAAAUGUCUUCUUGAAGAUCACCAUUAAGGAAGGUUGUUUCUACAUCCAUCCGAUGUAACUCAAGAUCAAAGUGGGCAGUGAUUGCCAUAAUAAUUCGCAUUGAAUCUUUGGAAGACACUGGUGAAAAGGUAUCAUUAUAGUCAAUACCUUCUCUCUGAGUAAACCCUUUAGCAACCAACCGAGCUUUAUACCUCUCAAUUUGUCCUUGUGCAUCCCUCUUAGUCUUAUACACCCAUUUACACCCUACAGGCUAGUCCUUGGCUCCACUAACAACCAAACAUGAUUCUUGUACAUUGAGUCCAACUUCUCCUUCAUUGCAUUGUUCCACAAACUUGACUGUGAACUCCUUAUGGCCUAUGAAUAAGUUGUUAGAUCAUCAAUGUCUCCAAUAUUAUAGUCAGUUUCUUGAAGAUAACAAAGAAAAUCACUUGUAAUUGCAGGUUUUCUUGUUCUUGACUUCUUGUGGAUCUUCUGAUUUCAGGUUGAACUUGAAUAUUGUCAAUUUGUUGUGCAACUUGCUGAGCAUUAUCAAUUAAUUCAGUAGCUUGCUAACUCAGUUCAUGCUUGAUUUCAGUUACUUCUUGUUGCUCCAUCACUUAAUCAGUUUCAUUAGAAUGAUCAGACUCAAUGUGUUGAUCAUUGGCUUGAGAGUACACCAAAACUGGGCAAUGUUCACUUGAAGAUGCUUCAAUUGAUGGUUGUUCAAGUUCCUCAAAUAUAAAGUUCUCAAUGGUAAAAUCUGAGACAUCUUGAUCUUCAAACAACCUUGCAUUAUGGGUUUCCUUGAUUCUGGUGUGAGCCUAUGCACAAUAGAACUUAAACCCCUUUGAUUUUUCCAAGUAACCUAUGAAAUAACAAGACUUCGUCCUUGGAUCCAGUUUCUUUUCCUCCGGAUUAUAGAACCUAGCAUCUGCCUUACAAUCCACACAUUGAUUUUUCCAAGUAACCUAUGAAGUAACUGUUUCCACAAAUUGUUUUAGUUAGGAAAUGACCACAAACAUCAGUAUGAAUAAUCUCAAGUAAAUUUUUGCUUCUCUUGGCUUCAAAAUUUCGAAACUUAGUUAGCUUUCCUUUGUAACAAUCCACACAUUCAAUGGUAGUUUCAAAAUCAAGUGAAGGAAUCAAGUUUGCUUUUGAUAGUUUAGUGAUUCUUUCUUUUGAUAUAUGACAUAAUCUCUUGUGCCAAAGAAUGUAAGAAGUGUCAAUGUUUAACAUUCUCUUAAUGCUUAUAUUUAGUGCAUGAUGUUCAUUAAAGACCACACUACACUCCAACUGCCAUAAGUUUUCAACUAAGCUAGCAAUCCCUAAAUUGGAAUUAAGAUAGUUCUUUUGAAAAAGUUGUAAACAUUCAUCAUCACCUAGGAAGGAAAAACCAUUUUUCAUGAGUUUAGAGGCUGAGAUCAAAUUUCUUCUCAUCUUUGGCACAUAAAGCACAUCAUUCAAUUGCAAAAUAAAACCACAAUUUAGUUUUAACCUAAUUGUUCCAACAGCUUUAACUGUAACAUUUGUCCCUUCCCCCACAAAAAACAUUAAAACAGUUAAAACUAGCAUCCUUUUGUUUUUCAAAACCAUGCAGUGAGUUAGUUAUGUGAACUAUGGAGCCAGUAUCAAACCACUAUGAGUUAAAAGGAAUCUCAAUUAAGUUUGACUCUACACAUACAUUAACUAUUUAUUUCCCAUUAGCUUUCAGAUAGUCUUUAAACAGUUCACAAUCUUUUCUUAAAUAACCUCGAGUUUAGCAAAAAAAAAAAAAACACUUAAGCUUAGCUACAUUUUUAACUUUAGGUUUAAGAUUGUUAGACCCUUUGGAAGAUUCAAAUAUUUUAGCAGAAAUACCAGUCUUAUCAGAAUUCCUAAAAUUCUUGAAGUUCUUACCUGAAUUAUUUCCAGCAUUGUAUGAUUUCUUCCUUCUUCCUCCUUGCACAAAGUUCACAAUCUCCGCCUCUUUGCCUUUUUCUUGCCUUUGGCAAGUCUCUUCUUGAACACAUUGUGCAAUUAACUCAUCUACAUCCCAACUCUUGUCCUGUGUUUUAUAAGGCACCUUUAAUUGAGAGUACUUGAAUGGGAGAGUUUGAAGAAUCAUGAAAACAACUGCUUUUCUCCAAUGCUAACAUCCAUUGAAUUCAACUUCUUUGCAGCGUCAAUCAUUUUCAUAAUAUGGUCCCUGAUUGAACCAGAAUUAUCAAUUUUGUAAGUUGUUAGCAGUGACAUAUAUUGGUUGAUCUCUGCUUUCUGUGACUCUUUGAAUUUCUUCUCAAUAGCCUUCAAGUAAUUAGUUGCUAAAUCAUGUUUCUUAAUGCCUCCACAAACUGUAUCAGUCAUACCACUCUCCAUGAUAGAAAGUGCCACUUUGUCGGCUCUUGUCCACCUUUCAUGAUCAAUCUUCUUAGCUCUAGUACUCUGAUCUGUGAUCAUUGGUCUUGGAGUAUCAAUGGCAAUAUCAUACUCAUUGAUUGUCAAUAACAAUCCAAUUUCUCUCCUCCAUUUUUUGUAGUUACUCCCUCUAGUGAGAAUUGGGAUAUUUGCCAAGUUCAAAGUCUUCAAGGAUAUUGCAGACACUGCAGAUGAAAUCACAAUCAUGAACCAAUUAGGUUCCUACUUUCCUUUUGCAGUUCGCACAUCAAAACUUGCAUCAAUGAUUCAUACAUAUAGACUUAUCAACACAUAGUUGACAAUCAUACAUAGAAUGACUGAUUCAUCGAGAACUUAGAAGAUCACAAUAAGAUAUGCAACAAUAGACCGUUUUCAAAUGUCUCAUGCAUACUGCAUAUGAAAAUUUUGCAAGAUAUCGAGAUAAUAGUAAUCUUAAUUGUGAGUAGUUAGUCCUUUACAAAGAAACUUCAAUCAAUAAUACCACAUAAUAUUAAAUUUCCUUGAAAUAAUUAGGAUCUUGUUUUUUUUUUUUUUUUUUUUUUUUUUUUUUUUUUUUUUUUGUUAACUUACGAACCACUCAAUUUCAAGGCUGAAUUCAUAGCAUGUAGUCUAGGUUCUAAUACCACAUGUUAACAUAAACAUAUAAUAUGAAUCACAGAACUUCAAACACAAAACCACGUUCAUAAACCUUUGAACAUAAAACGAACACAUUACAUGCAGAUGAAUUCGAAGAGCCUGCCAUGACUUGUUUCUGCAGCAAACCAGAGGUGCACCUUCUUCUCUCUUCAGUAAUUAGUUUGCUCUUUACUAAUAAUAGGUCUUGUUUCAAAAGAAUAGAGCACGGUAACUAUGAGAGCAGAGGCCACUAUAUAUAUAUAUAUAUAUAUAUAUAUAUAUAUAUAUAUCAUAAUCCUAGCCAAGUCCUACAAGGAUUCCCCUAAGAAUCCAUAUAGACAACAAAUUCAAUACACAUAGUGUUUCAGCAUGACAUGGAUUACAAAUCCACUCCCAAUAAGGACUUCCUAUUUAAUCUUGAAUCAAAUAACUUAAUCCACAUAUUCAUACUCAUGCUCAUAUUCUAACAUUUCUAGGUCUAUAUAUAUAUAUAUAUAUAUAUAUUGUGCGGUUCUCAGUUAAAUAAUUGGGCACAAGAACGUCACUUUAUUUAGGUUUGCAGCAGUUGGUUCUUGCUUGUUACAUGACCUUACUUUGUAUCAAUCUGAUCAUCCCACUCCCCAAGUCCGAGAGUUUGCUUGGUGCCUAAGAUUGGAUUUGAUUUGGUAACACAGUAAAUUCAAGCAUGUUGAAGGACGGAAGAAACAAAGAAGUUCUGUCCGAGUUAAAAGGUAGAAGAUGAAGUGCAGAGUGAAGAAAACAUAUCAUUUUCAACCCCCUACAAAAUGGUAGGAUACCAACAUCUCUUAUAAUUUAUCCCUUCUAAUCCUGUCCCCAGAUGAAGAAUCAUUCACAACGACCUUCAUUUCUUACUUCACCAUAUUUUAAAAUAGCAAAUUAUCAAAUCUAAAUUCUACGCACCAAAUGAGAAGGUUUGACAAAUUCCCUUCAGGAGGAGGCACAUACACAAGUUUUUUUUGUCAAACCUCGUAAAUUCUUAGUGCACUCUCGUUUGUUUUGCUCAUUGUCGAGGAUCAUCAAAUUUUUUUGUCCCGUCGAAUUAUUCAUCGCUCAUUGUCGAGGAUCAUCAACUUUUUUUGUCCCGUCGAAUUAUUCAUCGCGCUGAGAGGAUCAAAUAAUCUCUAUGUAGACACUAACUUGGUUCAAAAAACAAAAUGUUUGAGUGCAUCCAGCAAUCUUCCCCAUUGUUGGGGUUUGUUUGGUUUGGAGGUCAAUAGUUAACACAAUCACUUCUGUAUGUAGGAUUCUCCAACAAGCAAAUCAAACAUAAUUGGGAAGUGACCAUAACCACAAAGCAAAGUUGGGAGGAUACUCCCCAAAUUUAACCUGUAUUUUCUAGUUAAAUCACAUCAAAUACGAAACAAUUUACAUUGUCCGGCUUCAAUUAAGUUCUUACAUCCGAAAGACCGCUGGCACCUGGGUGACAAGGUUUGAUACAUUUCCAAGUUCAAAAUAACAAAACGAUUAACUCCUCUAGCUGGCGUUUCAUGCAAAACUUAUAACUCAGGCUGUUGCGGAAUUGUAGCAUCAGUCCCAGCCAUACUUCCAGAUGUUCAAAGGGCAUGAAAAUGGUAAUUCGUACACCAAAAUCAUGAGAGGUAAAUAAGACUAUAAUACCAGAGUGAUGACAUCAUUCCAUUCUGUAGUUUCGGAAUGAAUCCCAUGCGAUUCAUAAGCGGAUUGUGGGCAAGAUUCUUCUGCAGGUGUAGGAUCAGGAUGAUUAUACAAGCACCUGUUUUCAUACUGGCAAGUGCCAGUUCGCAUAUAGUGCAAACAAUCUUUCUUCCCCUGUAAUACGUUAAAAUAAUUAUUCAGCGAACGUAUGGACACUUGAUGGUAGCUCCAACAGACUAAGAAAAUAGCAAAGACAAAAUCUCAAAUCUUAAGCACCAUGAAUAGAUAGAUAUUCAUUCCUCAUAUUUUUGCAGAUCAAACCAAGAGUUUAUACCGGACGAAUUGGCAGGCCCAAAAAGUUAAGUUUCAGAGCUGGAGCUACAGAGGGUUCCCUUUUACAUCGUCCUGGGCAAUACUGCAACAAGCUCAAGUGUUAUAUUAACAUCAGGAAACUGUUACUAUGCCGCCAUGCACAUUGCACAGAUUUGAAAAUUAAUUGUAAUCCUGUGUAAAAAGGAAUAUGUGAUUGUAAUGUAACACCAUACAAAUGUCAUGAAAACACUUCGACUAUAAGUUGAUCACGUUCAAGACCCUCAUCGUUCUAUUGUUAGCUACAAGAUAAAAGGUUUAAGAUAACCAUGUCGCCUAUGAGUUGAUCAUGUUCAGUUGUGCAUGCUAACCUACUAGCUUUCAGAUAACCAUAUGAGAAGCCCCAUCGUCACUCAAAACAGAAAGAGUUAAGAUAUUAUGUGAAACCAAAUAUGCAAAGUAAAAGAAAACAUCAGGAUGUAAAGCAUGAAAACCAAGCAAUUGAAGUAAAAACCAGAACUUCGGAUAGACAAUAAUCUUGCUUCCGGUCUGGUCUUGCUUCUGUGUCAACUUUUCACUCUACUUUGCAAUGUCCUUAAACACCUUCUAAACAAUAUGAUAAAGUUGAAAACACCAAGAAACACAAAGUGAGCACCAACAACACAAAUAUUUCAUCCAGUCAUACAAGGCCAGAUGGAUUACUGUUUCAAACAUUAAAUGCAGGUCCAAAGUAGCGAUUUUUCAGUUAAUCCGAGGUACCAAAUUUCACCACAAAGAUGCAUGUGAAAGAAAAACAUCAUCUCUAACAAAUAUGACAAGUGCUUCAUUUCGAGUCAAUUCCACUGACAAAGAUCAUCAUCACGGCAUAAUAAACUAGCCGAUUAACACAUUCUUUACACUAUAACACAUGCAUACAGGCAUUUUUCAGCUAAAGCAUGAAACAAAGAGAGCUAAACAUGAAAAGUCUAAAUCUUUCAACCAUAAACAUAGAUAUGCAAAUGCUAAAUACAAAAAGUUAAUAUACUACUUGAAACCAAAUAUGCAAAGUAAAACAAACUUAAUGAUGUAAACAUGAAAACCAAGCAAUUGCAGUAAAAAGUUCAAAACAAGAACUUCGGAUAGAUAAUAACCUUGUUUCUGGUCUGGUCUUGCUUCUCUGCCAACUCUCCCCUCUGCUUUGCCUUGUCCUUAAACACCUUCUAAACAAUAUGAUAAAGUUGAAAACAACAAGAAACACAAAGUGAGCAUCAACAACACAAAUAUUUCCUGCAAUCAUACAAGGCCAGAUGCAUUAAUUUCGCAAAUGCUAAAUGCAGGCCCAAAGUCCCCAUUUUUUUUUGUUAAUCCAAAGUCCCGAAUUUUCAAGUACAAAUUUCACCACAAAGAUGCACAUGAAAUUUUGAAUGAAAACAUCAUCUCUAACAAAUAUGACAUGUGCCUCCAUUUCGAGUCAAUUCUGCUGACAAAGAUCAUGAUUGCAGCUUAAUAUACUAACCGGUUAUAACAUUCUUUACACCAUAACACAUGCAUACAUGUAUUUCUCAGUUGAAACAAUGAGAGCUGAAGUCGGGAAAACAAGAAAAGUCUCAAUCUUUCAACAAUAAACAUACAUAAUGCUAAAUACAAAAAGUUAAGAUACUAUUUGAAAUCAUCUAUGCAAAGUAAAAAAACUUAAUGAUUUAAAACAUGAUGGAAAAGCAGUUAAAGCAUUGCAUUGAAAACCAGAACUAUGGAUAGAUAAUAACCUUGCUUUCGGUCUGGUCUUGCUUCACUGCCAACUCUUCCCUCUGCUUUGCCUUGUCCUUAGACACCUUCUAAUAAAUUUGAUAAAGUUCAAAACACCAAGAAACACAAAGUGAGCAUCAACAACACAAAUAUUUCCUGCAAUCAUACAAGGCCGGAUGCAUUAAUGUCUCAAACACUAAAUGCAAGCUCAAAGUCUCAAUUUUUUUUGUUAAUAAAAAAUCCCAAUUUUUUCACGUACAAACUUCACCACGAAGAUGCAUGUGAAAGAGAAAUAUCAUCUCCAAAAAAUAUGAUAUGCACCUCCUUUUGAGUCAAUUCUGCUGGAAAAAUCAUCAUCGUGGCAUAAUAAACGAACCGAUUAACACAUGCAUACAUGCAUUUCUUAGCUGAACCAAUCAGAGCUGAGGCUGGGUAAACACGAAUAGUCUCAAUCUUUCAACCAUAAACAUACAUAUGCAAAUGCUAAAUACAAAAUGUUAAGAUAGUACAUGACACCAAAUAUGCAAAGUAAAACAAUCUUAAUGAUGUAAAGCAGGAAAACCAAGUAGUUGCAGCAAAAAGUUAAAAACCAGAACUUCGGAUUGAUAUUAACCUUGCUUUCGGUCUGGACUUGGUUCUCUACCAACUCUUCGCGCUGCUUUGCCUUGUCCUUAGACACCUUCUUCUAAUAAAUAUGAUAAAGUUGAAAACACCAAGAAACACAAAGUGAGCACACCAAAAAAAAAAAAAAAAAACAAAUAUUUCCUGCGAUCAUACAAGGUCAUAUGCAUUAAUGUCUCAAACGCUAAAUGCAUGCCCAAAGUCCCCAUUUUUUUUGUUAAUUCAAAGUCCCAAUUUUUCACGUACAAAUUUCAGAACAAUUAUGAACAAAUAUGUACGUGAAAGAAAACAUCACCUCUAACAAAUAUGAUAUGUGCCUACAUUUCAAGUCAAUUCUGCUAACAAAGAUCAUCAUCGCGGCACAAUAAACUCGCUGAUUAUAACACAUGCAUACAUGCAUUUCUCAGCUGAAACAAUGAAAGCUGAGGCCGGGAAAACACGGAAAAUCUCAAUCUUUCAACCAUAAACAUACAUAUGCAAAUGCUAAAUGCAAAAAGUUAAGAUACUACUUGAAACCAAAUAUGCAAAGUAAAAACAAACAUAAUGAUGUAAAACAUGAAAACCAAGCAAUUUGUUGUAAAAUCAUAAUCUCGGAUAGAUAAUAACCUUGUUUUCGGUCUGGUCUUGCUUUUCUGCCAACUCUUCCCUCCGCUUUGCCUUGUCCUCAGACACCUCACCAACAAAUAUUUCCUGCUAUCAUACAAGGCCAGAUGCAUUAAUGUCUCAAACACUAAAUGCAGGCCCAAAGUCCCAAUUCUUUUUGUUAAUCCAAAGUCCUGAUGUUUCACGGACAAAUUUCAACACAAAGAUUCAUGUGAAAGAAAAACUUCAACUCUAACAAUUCUGAUAAAUGCCUCCAUUUCGAGUCAAUGGCAGCAUAAUAAACUAACCAAUUAACAUAUACUUUACACUACAACAUAUGCAUGCAUGCAUGCAUUUCUCAGCUGAAACAAUGAGAUCUGAGGCCUAGAAAACAUGAAAUGUCUGUCUUUCAACCAUGAACACACAUGCAAAUGCUAUAUACAAAAAGUUAAGAUACUACUUGAAACCAAAUAUGCAAAGCAAAACAAACUUAAUGAUGUAAAACAUGAAAACCAAGCACUUGCUGUAAAAACCAGAACUUCGGAAUUUGGAUAGAUAAUAACCCUGCUUUUGGUCUGGUCUUGCUUCUCUGCCAACUCUUCCUCCUGCAUUGCCUUGUCCUUGGACACCAUCAUCUAAUAAAUAUGACAUAGUUCAAAACACAAAGAAACACAAAGUGAGCACCAACAACACAAAUACUUAAUGCAAUCAUACAAGGCCAUUAACGUCUCAAACACGGGGUGUAUUCAAUUGAGAAUGUGAGAGAUUUUAAUGGAUUUAUAAAUCCAUGGAUUUUUAUGGAGUUUAAUUGAUUUGUAGAGAUUCCAUAUAAAAUUUUGAUUGAAUUCCCUCGAAAUCUCAUGGAAAGAGGUGAGAUUUGUGGAUACUUAAAAUACACUACGAAAUCUCUCAAAUUCCCUCAAAUUCCUCAACUUGCUCAAAUUCUUUAAAAUCAAUUUCUAAUUGAAUACACCUGGAAUGUUAUAAACUUCUUUAAAAUCUUAAUUGAAUACACCUGGAUUUCUAAGGAUUUUAAUAAACUAUUUUAAAAUUCUAAUUGAAUACACCUGGAUUUCUAAGGAUUUUAAUAAACUAUUUUAAAAUUCUAAUUGAAUACACCUAGAAUUUCAGAGAAUCACUUAAAAUCCUGAUUGAAUACCCCUAAAUUCAUUAAAAGAAUUAAAAUCCCUUAAAAUCUCAAUUGAAUACAACCCAAUUUUUCACGUACAAAUUUCACUACAAAGAUGGAUGUGAAAGAAAAUCUUCAUCUUUAACAAAUAUGAUAUGUGUCUUUAUUUCGAGUCAAUCCCGCUGACAAACAUCAUCGUCACGGCAUAAUAAACUAACCGAUUAACACAUUCUUUAUACUAUAACACAUGCAUAUAUGCAUUUCUCAGCUGAAACAAUGAGAGGUGAGGCCGGAAAACACGAAAAGCCUCAAUCUUUCAACCGUAAACAUACAUAUGCAAUUGCUAAAUGCGAAAGACGAGUGACAUACCUGCUUGUUUUCCCUUCUCCGAGGGUGAUUCCUUGUGCUACUCUCCUCAACAACCUCCUUCACCACCUCACCACCGUUCUCAUUCCCUCCUCCUCCGCUGCCGCUUUCGCUCUCUCUCUCCUUCUCAGUUUCCUCUUGAGUCUCUCUCUCCUUCCCUUUUUCUUUUUCCUUCUUUUCCUUCAAACUCAAUUCCUGAAUCUUCCGAAUCUCAUCGAGGAAAGCAGGGUCGAGAUUCCUAAUCCAUUCGAUCACGGCGGGGUCGAGUGUCCGAAUCAAUUCAAGGAUUUCAGGAUCGAGAUCGGACGGCGCAUGAGACGGAAUAGACGGUGGAUGACCACUUUGAUCAUCGAUGGGAUUUAGGCGAAAGGCGACGCCUUGAGGGAGUUCCGAUUGCCGUCCGGAUCGAAAGUACCUAUAAAUUUCGACCAACACUGUAAAUGACACCGGUAGCAGAACACGCGCCGUUGGCAACAUUGGUAGUUUUUGCGCUGGCGGGGACGGCGGAGGCGGCGGCUGAAACUGGGUUGCUGGGUUUGCUGUGAACUUGCAACUAGCAGCUACAUUAUCAUUACGGAUUAAAUAGAGUUUUAGUUGGUUGAUUAAUUGUAGAAACUGGGUUUUGACUGGUUAAAUCAAAGGCGUCGGCUUUUUCUAGCAGAGGCAUGUUUGGAUUGCUUUUCAAUUCCAAAGAUACUUUGGAAAAGCGGACACUCGUGUACUUAGAUGCACUAGCUACAGUGCCUUUACGUGAACACCUAUUACUUCGAUACGAAGGAAUCAUAAACCAUAAAAGCUUUGAGCUACUUUACAACUCUCAAGAUGUUUCAAAAUCUCUGCUGAAUCAUAAACCGAUAAGCUUUAAGCUAAUUGAAUCAUAAAUCAAUAAGCUUUGAGUUAUUUUAUAACUCUCAAAAUGUUUCAAAAUCUCAACUGAAUAUACCGCAUACUCUGUCAUUUUGAUUAUCCUAAGUUUUAAUUUUGGGGCAAAGGUUGACUUAUAUGACCUCAGUUGACGCAUGCGUUGAGUUAUAUGACCUGAGUUCACUGUCAACUUCACAGGUCCCCUCCGGUACCUACAAACAUGUUAUUUUGUAAUAUGGGUUCGUCUUUUUCAUUGGUGUUUUAUGUGCGAGUUUAAUCAAUGUUAGUGUUUUAUGUGUGAGUUUAAUCAAUGUUACAUGCAACAGACAACGCAAACGCCGCAACAAGUUCGAUACACAACAAAAGAUGCCAGCAGAAAUUUAUGGGGUGAGAUCAACAAGCCAUUUGAAGAUGCUCGGGGAAUAGGCAACGACGACGAAAUUGAAAGAAUAUUACCCGACUAAACUUGUAUUUUCCGGUAAAGUGACAUGGAUAAGAAAUCAUUUACACGUUUCAUUCACAAUUAAAAAGUUUGUGUCAUCCGUGUGAAAAGGUUUGAUACAUUUCUAAGAUUAAAUUUACCGAAAGAGAGAUUACACAUGUCCUCGGUGAUGCGAAUCCUGUGCUCUAUGCAAGCAUUCAUGCAUAACUUAUUGCACGGGCUGCGGUUGACUUGUACCAUCAGUUCCACUUCUGCUCCCAGCUAUUCCCGCCCCAUUAGUAGUCGCCCAGUACCACAUAUAUGACAAGCAAAGUGCGACUCCAUUUGCAAAAUUGCUCCACAGAACCAUUUACUUUCCAAAGAAUCUUUGGUAUAGGCAUCGAAUAGCCAGAAAAUUACAUAGAAUCACAAAAAAAAUCAAAGCCACUCCAGAGAGGAAUGAAAGAUAUGGUGUCUCUACAAUAAAAGGAACAAGUUCGGAUAGUGUUCCCAGAUGGGUGAAGAACAAAGCCGAGUCUUCUCUUUAUAUUAUGGAAGACGAACUAAUCGGGAUUGAAGACAAGAAGCAAACGUUAAUGGCAUGCGAUCUGUAAUGUGUGCAAAUGUUCUGAUCCUGGAUUUUGAACAAAUUUUGUGCGAUCAUGUAAUAUGGAAUCAAACUGAGGCUCUCAUCAUAGACAGGAGAGGAGACAACAAUUAGUCAAUAAUCUUUAUGAUUCAGGAACAAAGCGAAAAAACCCUUCCUAAGGUCAUAUUCCGAAAUCAGGAACUCAUUACCAAAGUCAAAAGAAGAGCUUACUGGUCUCAACGGCAGGCCUUUGUCACCGAGUGUGAAUGGGGGGCUACGGCAGUCUGAGUUUUUGGAUGGUGAUAUUUGCAAUUAGAUUUAAACUUGCAAUCUCCCGUUCUUGAGAAAUAACUGCAAUCAGGUUGGCCAGGUCUUUCUGGGAACUCUUCAACUUGAUUCUGGUGUGGAUAUUGUUUGUAGACGUUGGUCUCAGUCACUGAGUUGUUCAUCAUAUAUGGUGGACGUGCAGGCAUGCUUCCUUCUGGUAUAUAUGCUGGAGCCUAAAGGUGCAAACAGAAAAACAAUUGGCAUUAAUAUUAGGGAUAUCGAUAUGUUUCAACCCCCAAUAAAUGGUAGGAUACCAACAUCUCUUAUAACUUAUCCCUUCUAAUCCCGUCCCCACAUGAAGAAUCAUUCACAACGACCUUCAUUUCUUACUUCACCGUAUCUUAAAAUAGCAAAUUAUCAAAUCUAAUUCUACGCACCAAAUGAGAAGGUUUGACAAAUUCACUUCAGGAGGAGGCACAUACACCAAGUUUUUUUUGUCAAACCUCGUAAAUUCUUGAUGCACUCUUGUUUGUUUUGCUCAUUGUCGUCGAGGAUCAUCAAUUUUUUUUUUGUCCCGUCGAAUUAUUCAUCGCGAGGAGAGGAUCAAAUAAUAUCUAUGUAGACACUAACUUGGUUCAAAAAACAAAAUGUUUGAGUUCAUCCAGCAAUUCUUCCCCAUUGUUGGGGUUUGUUUGGUUUGGAGGUCAAUAGUUAACACAAUCACUUCUGUAGGUAGGAUUAUCCAACAAGCAAAUCCAAGAUAAUUGGGAAGUGACCAUAACCACAAAGCAAAGUUGAGAGGACACUCCCCAAAUUUAACCUGUAUUUUCUAGUAAAAUCGCUUCAAAUACGAAAUGAUUUACAUUUUCCGGCUUCAAUUAAGUUCUUACAUCCGAAAGACCGCUGGCAGCUGGGUGACAAGGUUUGAUACAUUUCCAAGUUCAAAAUAACAAAUCGAUUAACUCCUCUAGCUGGCGUUUCAUGCAAUACUUAUAACUCAGGCUGUUGCGGAAUUGUAGCAUCACUCCCAGCCAUACUUCCAGAUGUUCAAAGGGCAUGAGAAGGAAAAGAAAGAAGUCAAAACACGAAAAGAUCCGACUAUUAUCCCUAAAAAAAUGGUAACUCGUACAUCAAAAUCAUGAAAGGUAAAUAAACACAAGACUAUAAUACCUGAGUGAUGACACCCUUCCAUUCUGCAGUUUCAGCAUACUUCCAGAUGUUCAAAGGGCAUGAGAAGGAAAAGAAAGAAAUCAAAACACGAAAAGAUCCGACUAUUAUCCCUAAAAAAAUGGUAAUUCGUACAUCAAAAUCAUGAGAGGUAAAUAGACACAAGAGUAUAAUACCGGAGUGAUGACAUCAUUCCAUUCUGCAGUUUCGGAAUGAAUCCCAUGAGAUUCAUAAGUGGAUUGUGGGCGAGAUUCUUCUAAAGGUGUAGGAUCAGGGUGAUUAAACAAGCAGUUGUUUUCAUACUUGCAAGUGCCAGUUUGCAUAUAGUGCAAACAAUCUGCCUUCCCCUGUAAUACGUUAAAAUAAUAAUUCAGCGAAUACAUGGACACUUGAUAGUAGCUCCAACAGACUAAGAAAAUAGCAAAGACAAAAUCUCAAAUCUUAAGCACCAUGAAUAGAUAGAUAUUCAUUCCUCAUAUUUUUGCAGAUCAAACUGAGAGUUUACCGGACGAAUUGGCAGGCCCAAAAAGUUAAGUUCCAGAGCAGGAGCUACAGAGGGUUCCCCUUUACAUUGUCCAGGGCAAUACUGCAACAAGCUCAAGUGUUAUAUUAACAUCAUGAAACUGUUACUAGGCCGCCAUGCACAUCGCACAGAUUUGAAUAGGAGGCUACAAAGGGAAAGAAAUGUCAUUCACAAUUUAAAAAUUAAUUGUAAUCCUGUAUAAAAAGGAAUAUGUGAUUGUAAUGUAACACCAUACAAUUGUCAUGAAAACACAUCGACUAUAAGUUGAUCACAUUCAAGACCCUCAUCGUUCUAUAGUUAGCUACAAGAUAAAAGGUUUAAGAUAACCACGUCGCCUAUGAGUUGAUCAUGUUCAGCUGUGCAUGCUAACCGACCAGCUUUCAGAUAAACCAUAUAAGAAGCCCCAUCGUCACUCAAAACAGAAAGAGUUAAGAUAUUACAUGAAACCAAAUAUGCAAAGUAAAAGAAAACUUAAGGAUGUAAGGCAUGAAAACCAAGCAAUUGAAGUUCAAAACCAGAACUUCGGAUAGAUAAUAAUCUUGCUUCCGGUCUGGUCUUGCUUCUCUGUCAACUCUUCACUCUGCUUUGCCUUGUCCUUAGACACCUUCUAAACAAUAUGAUAAAGUUGAAAACACCAAGAAACACAGAGUGAGCACCAACAACACACAUUUCAUCCAGUCAUACAAGGCCAGAUGCAUUAAUGUUCCAAACACUAAAUGCAGGUCCAAAGUCGCCAUUUUUCAGUUAAUCCGAAGUACCAAUUUUCACGUACAAAUUUCACCACAAAGAUGCAUGUGAAGGAAAAACAUCAUCUCUAACAAAUAUGACAAGUGCAUCAUUUCGAGUCAAUUCUACCAACAAAGAUCAUCAUCACAGCAUAAUAAACUAACCGAUUAACACUCUUUACACUAUAACACAUGCAUGCAUGCAUUUUUUCUGCUAAAGCAUCAAACAAAGAGAGAUAAACACGAAAAGUCUCAAUCUUUCAACCAUAAACAUACAUAUGCAAAUGCUAAAUACAAAAAGUUAAGAUACUACUUGAAACCAAAUAUGCAAAGUAAAACAAACUUAAUGAUGUAAACUUGAAAACCAAGCAAUUGCAGUAAAAAGUUCAAAACCAGAACUUUGGAUAGAUAAUAACCUUGUUUUUGGUUUGGCCUUGCUUCUCUGCCAACUCUCCCCUCUGCUUUGCCUUGUCCUUAGACGCCUUCUAAACAAUAUGAUAAAGUUGAAAACACCAAGAUACACAAAGUGAGCACCAACAACACAAAUAUUUCAUCCAGUCAUACAAGGCCAGAUGCAUUAAUGUUUCAAACACUAAAUGCAGGUCCAAAGUUGCCAUGUUUCAGUUAAUCCGAAGUACCAGUUUUCACGUACAAAGUUCACCACAGAUGAUUGUGAAAGAAAAACAUCAUCUCUAACAAAUAUGACAGUUGCUUCAUUUCGAGUCAAUUCCACUGACAAAGAUCAUCAUCACGGCAUAAUAAACUAACCGAUUAACACAUUCUUUACACUAUAACACAUGCAUUUUUCAGCUAAAGCAUGAAACGAAGAGAGCUAAACACGAAAAGUCUCAACCUUUCAACCAUAAACAUACAUAUGCAAAUGCUAAAUACAAAAAGUUAAGAUACUACUUGAAACUAAAUAUGCAAAGUAAAACAAACUUAAUGAUGCAAACAUGAAAACCAAGCAAUUGCAGUAAAAAGUUCAAAACCAGAACUUCGGAUAGUUAAUAACCUUGUUUUUGGUUUGGCCUUGCUCCUCUGCCAACUCUCCUCUCUGCUUUGACUUGUCCUUAGACACCUUCUAAACAAUAUGAUAAAGUUGAAAACACCAAGAUACACAAAGUGAGCACCAACAACACAUAUUUCAUCCAGUCAUACAAGGCCAGAUGCAUUAAUGUUUCAAACACUAAAUGCAGGUCCAAAGUCGCCAUUUUUCAGUUAAUCCGAAGUACCAAUUUUCACGUACAAAUUUCACCACAAAGAUGCAUGUGAAGGAAAAACAUCAGCUCUAACAAAUAUGACAAGUGCAUCAUUUCGAGUCAAUUCUACCAACAAAGAUCAUCAUCACAGCAUAAUAAACUAACCGAUUAACACUCUUUACACUAUAACACAUGCAUGCAUGCAUUUUUUCUGCUAAAGCAUCAAACAAAGAGAGAUAAACACGAAAAGUCUCAAUCUUUCAACCAUAAACAUAUAUAUGCAAAUGCUAAAUACAAAAAGUUAAGAUACUACUUGAAACCAAAUAUGCAAAGUAAAACAAAAAAACUUAAUGACGUAAACAUGAAAACCAAGCAAUUGCAGUAAAAAGUUCAAAACCAGAACUUCAGAUAGAUAAUAACCUUGUUUUUGGUCUGGCCUUGCUUCUCUGCCAACUCUCCCCUCUGCUUUGCCUUGUCCUUAGACACCUUCUUCUAAUAAAUAUGAUAAAGUUCAAAACAGCAAGAAACACAAAGUGAGCACCAACAAUACAAAUAUUUCCUACAAUCAUACAAGACCAUAUGCAUUAAUGUCUAAAACGCUAAAUGCAGACCCAAAGUACCGAUUUUUCAAUUACAAAUUUCACCACAAAGAUGCAUGUGAAAGAAAACGUCAUCUCUAACAAAUAUGAUAAGUGCCUCCAUUUCGAUUUUUCGAGUCAAUUGCGCUGACAAAGAUCACCAACACAGCAUAAUAAACUAACCAAUCAACACAUUCUUUACACUAUAACACAUGCAUACAUGCAUUUCUCAGCUAAAGCCUGAAAAAUUGAGGGCUGAGGCUGGGAAAACAUGAAAAGUCUCAAUCUUUCAACCAUAAACAUAGAUAUGCAAAUGCUAAAUACAAAAAGUUAAGAAACCACUUGAAACAAAAUAUGCGAAGUAAAACAAUCUUAAUGAUGUAAAACAUGAAAACCAAACAGUUGCAUUUAAAAGUUCAAAACCAGAACUUCGGAUAGAUAAUUACCUUGCUUUCGGUCUGGUCUUGCUUCUCUGCCAACUCUUCCCUCUGCUUUGCCUUGUCCUUAGACACCUUCAUCUAAUAAAUAUGAUAAAGUUCAAAAUACCAAGAAACACAAAAUGAGCACCAAAAACACAAAUAUUUCAUGCAAUCAUAGAAGGCCAUAAGCAUUAAUGUCUCAUACGCUAAAUGCAGGCCCAAAGUCCCCAUUUUUUUUGUUAAUCCAAAGUCCAAAGUUUUCAUGUACAAAUUUCACCAAGCAUGUGAAAGGAAAAAAAUCAUCUCUUAACAAAUAUGAUAUGUGCCUCCAUUUCAAGCCAAUUCCGCUGACAAAAAUCAUCAUCGCGGCAUAACAAACUAACAAUUAAGAUUAACACAUUCUUUAAUUACACUAUAGCACAUGCAUACAUGCAUUUCUCAGCUGAGACAAUGAGUGUUGAGGCCUGGAAAACACGGAAAGUCUCAAUCAUUCAACCAUAAACAUACAUAAGCAAAUGUUAAAUACAAAACUUUAAGAUACAACUUGAAACCAAAUAUGCAAAGUAAAACUAACUUAAUGAUGUUAAACAUGAAAACCAAGUAGUCGCAGUAAACAACCAGAACAUCAGAUAGAUCAGAACCUUGCUUUCGGUAUGGUCUUGAUUCUCUGCCAACUCUUCCUUCUGCUUUGCCUUGUCCUUAGACAGCUUCUUCUAAUAGAUAUGAUGAAGUUCAAAACACAAAGAAACACAAAGUGAGCACCAACAACACAAAUAUUUCCUGCAAUAAUACAAUGCCAGAUGCAUUAAUUUCACAAACGCUAAAUGCUGGCCCAGAGUCCCCCAUUUUUUUUUGUUAAUCCAAAGUCCCGAAUUUUCAAGUACAAAUUUCACGACAAAGAUGCAUGUAAAAGAAAAACUUCAUCUCUAACAAAAAAUAGUGCCUCCAUUUCGAGUCAAUUUCGCUGACAAAGAUCAUCAUCAUGGUAUAAUAGACUAACCGAUCAACACAUUCUUUACACUAUAACACAUGCAUACAUGCACUUUUCAGCUAAAGCAUGAAACAAAGAGUGCUAAACACGAAAAGUUUCAAUCUUUCAACCAUAAACAUACAUAUGCAAAUGCUAAAUACAAAAAGUUAUGAUACUACUUGAAACAAAAUAUGUGAAGUAAAACAAACUCAAGAUGUAACACAUGAAAACCAAGCAGUUGCAGUAAAAAGUUCAAAACCAGAACUUCGGAUAGAUAAUGACCUUGCUUUCGGUCUGGUCUUGCUUCUCUGCCAACUCUUCUGUCUGCUUUGCCUUGUCCUUCGACACCUUCGUCCAAAAAAUAUGAUAAAGUUCAAAAUACCAAGAAACACAAAAUGCGCACCAAAACAUAAAUAUUUCAUGCAAUCAUAGAAGGCCAUAAGCAUUAAUGUCUCAAAUGCUAAAUCAGGCCCAAAGUCCCGAUUCUUUUUGUUAAUCCAAAGUCCAAAUUUUUAAUGUACAAAUUUCACCAAAAAAGUUGCAUGUGAAUGAAAAACAUCAUCUCUACAAAUAUGAUAUGUGCCUCCAUUUUGAGUCAAUUCCUGCUGACAAAUAUCAUCAAUAGAAGCAUAAUAAACUAACCAAUUAACACAUUCUUUACACUAUAACACAUGCAUUCAUGCAUUCCUCAGCUGAAACAAUGAGAGCUGAGGGUGGGAAAACACGAAAAAGUCUCAAUCUUUCAACCAUAAAAAUACAUACGCAAGUGCUAAAUACAAAAAAUUAAGAUACUACUUGAAACCAUGUACGCAAAGUAAAACAAACUUAAUGAUGUAAAACAAGAAAACCAAGCAGUUGCAAUAAAAAAGAACUUCGGAUAGAUAAUAACCUUGAUUUUGGUCUGGUCUUGCUUCUCUGCAAACUCCUCCCUCUGCUUUGCUUUCUCCUUAGACACCUUCUAUUAAAUAGAUAAAGUUCAAAACACCAAGAAACACAAAGGGAGCAUCAACAAAAUAAAUAUUUCGAGCUUAUGAUAAAGGCCAGAUGCAUUAAAUCUCAAAUACUAAAUUAUGGCCCAAAGUCCAAAUUUUUUUGUUAUUCCAAAAUCCCAAAUUUUCACAUACAAAUUUCACCACAAAGCUGCAUAUGAAAUUAUGAAUGAAAACAUCAUCUCUAACAAAUAUGACAUGUGCCUCCAUUUCAAGUCAAUUCUGCUGACAAAGAUCGUGAUCGUAGCUUAAUAAACUAACCGGUUAUAACAUUCUUUACACCAUAACACAUGCAUACAUGCAUUUCUCAGUUGAAACAAUGAGAGCUGAAGUCGGGAAAACAAGAAAAGACUCAAUCUUUCAACAAUAAACAUACAUAUGAAAAUGCUAAAUACAAAAAGUUAAGAUACUACUUGAAAUCAUAUAUGCAAAGUAAAACAAACUUAGUGAUGCAAAACAUUAAAAGCAGUUGCAUUGAAAACCAGAACUAUGGAUAGAUAAUAACCUUGCUUUCGGUCUGGUCUUGCUUCACUGCCAACUCUUCCCUCUGCUUUGCCUUGUCCUUAGUCACCUUCUUCUAAUAAAUUUGAUAAAGUUCAAAACACCAAGAAACACAAAGUGAGCAUCAACAACACAAAUAUUUCCUGCAAUCAUACAAGGCCGGAUGCAUUAAUGUCCCAAACACUAAAUGCAGGCUCAAAGUCUCAAUUUUUUUGUUAAUAAAAAAUCCCAAUUUUUUCACGUACAAACUUCACCACAAAGAUGCAUGUGAAAGAGAAAUAUCAUCUCCAAAAAAUAUGAUAUGCGCCUCCAUUUUGAGUCAAUGCCGCUGGAAAAAUCAUCUUCGCGGCAUAAUAAACGAACUGAUUAACAUAUUCUUUACACUAUAACAGAUGCAUACAUGCCUUUCUUAGCUGAAUCAAUCAGAGCUGAGGCUGGGUAAACACGAAUAGUCUCAAUCUUUCAACCAUAAACAUAAAUAUGCAAAUGCUAAAUACAAAAUGUUAAGAUAGUACAUGAAACCAAAUAUGCAAAGUAAAACAAUCUUAAUGAUGUAAAGCAGGAAAACCAAGUAGUUGCAGCAAAAAGUUAAAAACCAGAACUUCGGAUUGAUAUUAACCUUGCUUUCGGUCUGGACUUGCUUCUCUACCAACUCUUCCCGCUGCUUAGCCUUGUCCUUAGACACCUUCUAAUAAAUAUGAUAAAGUUGAAAACACCAAGAAACACAAAGUGAGCACAAAAAAAAUACAAAUAUUUCCUGCAAUCAUACAAGGCCAUAUGCAUUAAAGUCUCAAAUGCUAAAUGCAUACCCAAAGUCCCCAUUUUUUUUGUUAAUUCAAAGUCCCCAUUUUUCACGCACAAAUUUCAGAACAAAUAUGCAUGUGAAAGAAAACAUCACCUCUAACAAAUAUGAUAUGUGCCUACAUUUCAAGUCAAUUCUGCUAACAAAGAUCAUCAUAGCGGCAUAAUAAACUAACUGACUAUAACACAUGCAUACAUGCAUUUCUCAGCUGAAACAAUGAAAGCUAAGGCUGGGAAAACGCGGAAAGUCUCAAUCUUUCAACCAUAAACAUGCGUAUGCAAAUGCUAAAUACAAAAGGUUAAGAUACUACUUGAAACCAAAUGUGCUAAGUAAAAACAAACAUAAUGAUGUAAAACAUGAAAACCAAGCAAUUGUUGUAAAAUCAUAACUUUGAAUAGAUAAUAACCUUGUUUUCGGUCUGGUCUUGCUUUUCUGCCAACCCUUCCCUCGGCUUUGCCUUGUCGUUAGACACCUCCAACACAAAGUCGCCAACAAUUAUUUCCUGCUAUCAUACAAGGCCGGAUGCAUUAAUGUUUCAAACACUAAAUGCAGGCCCAAAGUCCCAAUUUUUUUUGUUAAUCCAAGGUCCUGAUGUUUCAUGUACAAAUUUCACCACAAAGAUGCAUGUGAAAGAAAAACUUCAUCUCUAACAAUUAUGAGAAAUGCCUCUAUUUUCAAGUCAACGGCAGCAUAAUACACUAACCAAUUAAUACAUACUUUACACUAUAACAUAUGCAUGCAUGCAUUUCUCGGCUGAAACAAUGAGAGCUGGGGCCUAGAAAACAUGAAAUGUCUGUCUUUCAACCAUAAACACACAUGCAAAUGCUAUGUACAAAAAGUUAAGAUACUACUUGAAACCAAAUAUGCAAAGCAAAACAAACUUAAUGAUGUAAAACAUGAAAACCAAGCACUUGCUGUAAAAACCAGAACUUCGGAAUUCAGAUAGAUAAUAACCUUGCUUUCGGUCUGGUCUUGCUUCUCUGCCAACUCUUCCCCCUGCAUUGCCUUGUCCUUGGACACCUUCAUCUAAUAAAUAUUAGAUAGUUCAAAACACAAAGAAACACAAAGUGCCAACAACACAAAUACUUAAUGCAAUCAUACAAGGCCAUUAAUGUCUCAAGCACUAAAUGCAGGCCCAAAGUCCUGAUUUUUCACGUACAAAUUUCACUACAAAGAAGCAUGUGAAAGAAAAUCCUCAUCUUUAACAAAUAUGAUAUGUGUCUCCAUUUCGAGUCAAUCCCGCUGACAAACAUCAUCGUCACGGCAUAAUAAACUAACCGAUUAACACAUUAUUUAUACUAUAACACAUGCAUACAUGCAUUUCUCAGCUGAAACAAUGAGAGGUGAGGCCGGAAAACACGAAAAGCCUAAAUCUUUCAACCCUAAACAUACAUAUGCAAUUGCUAAAUGCGAAAGACGAGUGAAAUACCAGCUUGUUUUUCCUUCUACGAGAGCGUUUACUUGUGCUACUCUCCUCAACAACCUCCUUCACCACCUCACCACCGUUCCCAUUCCCUCCUCCCCCGCUGCCGCUUUCGCUCUUUUCGCUCUCUCUCUCCUUCUUAGUUUCUUCUUGAGUCUCUCUCUCCUUCCCUUCUUUGUCCUCCUUUUCCUUCAAACUCAAUUCCCGACUCUUCCGAAUCUCAUCGAGGAAGGCAGGGUCGGGAUUCCUAAUCCAUUCGAUCACGGCGGGAUCGAGUGUCCGAAUCAAUUCAAGGAUUUCAGGAUCGAGAUCCGACGGCGCAGGAGACAGAAUAGACGGUGGAUGACCACUUUGAUCAUCGACGCGGUUGUUGUUAAUGGGAUUUAGGGGAACGGCGACGCCUUCAAGGAAUUCCGAUUGCAGUCCGGAUCGAUAGUACCUAUAAAUUUCGACCAACUCUGUAAAUGACACCGGUUGCAGAACACCCGUUGGCAACAUUGGUAGAUUUUGUGCUGGCGGGGACGGCGGCUGAAACUGGGUUGCUGGGUUUGCUGUGAACUUGCAACUAGCAGCUAGCAGCUACAUUAUCAUUACGGAUUAAAUUGAGUUUUAGUUGGUUGAUUAAUUGUAGAAACUGGGUUUUGACUGGUUAAAUCAAAGUCGUCUGCUUUUUCUAGCAGAGGCAUGUUUGGAUUGCUUAAUUCCAAAGCUGCUUUUGGAACAGUGCAUACUCAUGUAC